ACUGUAUUUGUAUACGUAUGUGUCUUAUACAUUGCACUUAGGGCGCGUUUGGUUCGCACUAUAAAAAAUUAUUAGAAAUAAAAAGAUGUCCGAGAAUUUUAUUUCUAUUCAUUCUAUUAUUAAAAAUGUGGUAUUCUUAUAUUUGGUUCGCACGGUCAUAUUAUUUAGUCAUGUUAUUUAAAAUUACAAAAAAAUAUAAUUUAUUUAUUUAUUUAAGUUUAAAUAAUAGUAUCAAAAAUUUCAACAUUCUUUUAGAAAAAAGGAAAAGAGAAUAAAUGUUAGAGAGAGAGAGAGCAAAAUUAAAGAAAUAGAAAGAGAAAUAGAGUCGAGGUCAGAGAAAGUGAGAGAGUUGGGAUUUAAAAAAAAAAAAAGAUCACGAAGAGAGAGCUUAGUUUAGAGAGAGAAAGAGUUGAAGUUUGGAGAGAAAAAGAUAAGUUUAGAGAGAGAUAUGAGGUUAGAGUGUAAAGAAAAAUAAUACCAACUAGUCGGCAGGUAGGGAGAAAGAAAGCUAUUAGAUAUUUUAUGAUUACUCAAAAUCAUUAAUACGAGGAUACCCACUCUCUCUUAAGGAAAUGGGAUUAGUACUUUGUAUGAAUUUCAUUCCCAAAUAAAUCGAAUUCUAAAUAUCUAAUAAUCACAAAAUAGGUAGUACCAUACUAUUAAUAAUAUUUCAGUAUAAUUAUAUAAACAAAUAUAAUA
rnacentral:lncRNA from 1 species